UGUCUCUUGUGUGUAUGGUA
rnacentral:siRNA from 1 species